AGAAGCGCUGCUCAGCAUCCUGGAACUUUUGGUCCAGGAUGGACACCAUCUUCCUCAGCACCUUCAUGAUCAUGUAGUUGUUCAGGACGCUGCACAGGUUAUCAGCCGGUCCUGGCACCGUUCCAUCAGAGCCAGAUUGAAGCACCUGCGGUGGACGAAUGGUUUCGGCGCUCGGAAGAAACAUGUGAUGCUGCCCAUGUGCGCCUGCAAUGGGCCAUCAGGCGGCAGAAGGCGAGCGCCGACCGGCACCACAGUGAGGCCCGGUGCAUCGGGUCUGGCUCUCAACCCGAAACCUACCCCUUCGCCUGCCCUGCCGGAAGCUGGGUCCGCGGUAAUGUGGGGCCAUUUAAAGUCCUGAGGAGACUGAACGAGGUUUGUUAUAGGUUACAGCUCCCUCCUGAUUACCGUAUUAACCCCUCGUUCCAUGUGUCUCUCCUCAGGCCGGUGGUGGCUGGUCCGCUCCAGCAGUCUGAGGUGCGGGAGGUUCCUCCACCCCCUCGAUGUCCACAUCGAGGGGGCCCUGGCGUAUACUGUGCGAGCCAUCAUGGACUCAAGGCGUCGGGCGAGGGGCCUUCAGUACCUCGUGGAGUGGGAGGGGUACGGUCCAGAGGAGAGAUGCUGGGUGCCGGUGGAGGACAUCCUGGACCCUUCCUUACUGCAGGAAUUUCACCGUCUCCACCUGGAUCGUCCUGCGCCUCGUCCUCCAGGUCGUCCCCGAGGCGUCACCGGCUUUCUAGCCUCCACCAAUCUACAUUUCUUUUUCCAUUUGUUUUGUCUGUAUUGUACAACCCGGUUCCCAUUACGUUUUAUUAUUUCCCUAUUUAACCCUCUGGAGCCAUCAUGGUUUUGUGCGUGUUUAUUGUUGUCAGUUGUCUCGUUUAUGUGAUUCUGGAAUUUCGUUCUCCUUGUUGGAAGAUUAUUUUUGAGUAGUUACUAUUAUUACUCAUCUCUGUGUCCUGCGCCUGACUCCGCCUUACCCACAUCACCUAGACUCUGACACCUACACUGUGAAUGUUUAAAUGAUGUAUUCAAUAUGGUCAAGAAAAAUUUAAUAAUUUGUAUGUUAUUAGUUUAAGCACACUAUGUGUGUCUAUUGUUGUGACUUAGAUGAAGAUCAGGUCAAAUUAUAUGACCAAUUUAUGCAGAAAUCCAGGUAAUUCCAAAGAGUUCACAUACUUUUUCUUGCCACUUCAGUUUGCAUAAUGUUUUAUAAUGUCACCUGUGCUGCUCAUAUAAUAUCACUGCUGGACCGAUAUGAAAUCUUACAUAAACCAUAUCAUCCCAAUGGUUACCUUAAUUACAUAGUGCUGUCCAUCACCAUCCAAAUAUGAAUAAUGAGUGGAAGGCAGGGCUAGAAAGUGGUUUUAACCUCUUGUUAGUGCUGGCAAUGAGGUCAGAGACCUUCUGGAGGUAGUCCUUGGCGUACACCACCACAGGCUCUGAGUCAUUGAGGGGUACAGGAGCAAACACAUCUGAGAGGUAGGGCAUCCAGUCCACCGCAGGAGCCAAGGUCUACAGAAACACAAAGAAACAAUGAUACUGUCAACAUAUCUACUGGUGCACCUGUCCUAUCAGAUAUAUAUAUAUAUAUAUAUAUAUAUAUAUUUUGCUUUUUUAAUCAGCAGGUAUGAAUAGAAAGCAGUAAGAAAGACCUUGCAGAAAGCACUGUUAAACCAAAAUACAAUCUAUGCAAAUUGCACUUUCAUUAACACAUCUCAAUCUGGGAGUCAUCUACUGUAGGUUUGUAUCUAGUGAUACUGCAGGUGGAUAUCUGGUGUUGACAUGAUGCUUGGAUCAGCUGAAGCAGUAGAGAGAUGGGUACUGACCGCCAGAUCCUUUGCCUGGAUCUUAUGGUAGAUGAGCUCUUCGUCCCUCCUCUCCUCCUGGGGUACGGUGAUGUUGGCCAGGGUGGUCUCAAAGUCCACAAUCUCCUGCAUCAGCGAUCUGGACGUCUCCUCUGAGCCCCCCAACAGGACCCCUAACUCCACCAGGAAGUCUAGGUACGCAUUCAGAUACUGUCGAGACCAAGUGGGAAGCACAGGGGGAGAAAUGUUGGUUAAAUGAAUUUAAAAACACAAUCCAGCGCUAGGAAAAUACUGACUACUACAAGCACAGAGUUAUCCCUUGAGCUAUACAUUCUUUCUAUAUUAUUUAUACAUGGUCUGUCCAAGUGGGGUACUGUAGGGUUUGUACUGCCGCGGAUAUUUUCUAUUCCUAAUGAAACACAUAUCUAGCGAGAUAGGUUUCUCAGUAUAGUGUACAAAUUUAUAAAGUUAAUUUCCUAAUUUAAUCAGGCAUCUGCAUCAAGGCACUGAUCUAUUUCAUGUCCUCCCUUACCCUGUCUGUCAUCAUGCUACAAUCUUUAAGCAUAUUCACCACAGUGCCAUAGUGCGGCCGCCUGUCAGUACCUUUGCAUUGGCCGUUUUGUUAAGGUAGUAAUCCCGUGAGGGGAGCCCCAGCCCGGAUUGAUCCACCUGUAGGUACGAGGAACAGUUCAUGACUACCAUCUCACACUUCAUUUAAACAUUUCAGCACUCUCAGCAAAGUGAGCCUCUUUCUUUGAUAGUAUAGUAUUGCAGGAUCUACUCUACAGUAUACUGCAGCUUCGAUUAACCUUACAAUUUCUAAUGUCCCUCUGCACAUUUUUUUUUUAAAGAGCAUGUAAAUGUAUAUGUCAAUCCUCUCUGAGCAGAUCUGGGGAUAAGUGAUGUUUGAUGAUUUCUCUGACAAAUGUAAAUAGAAUCAAAAGCUAAAGGAGUGAGGAGGAGGCCUGUGGGAGUAACUGGGCCUACAGCCACUGAGCCUUGGAGCCACUGGGGCCACUGGCUCUUCUCUCACCUGGAUAAUAUUACUGUUGGAGCUUUUGGAGUCAGUGCUGACAAACACAGUGAAGAAUGGGGAGCAGCGGUAGUUGGCCGACACUGUGCGUAGAACCUCCUGGAAAUUGUUUUUGUCCCAGGAGCCGGUUAGGGCCCAUCCCCCCGUCUGAAAGAAAAAAUGUAUGAUCUCCUUCAGAGAGAGGCUCACUUAAAACCUGAGAGGUGGUGAUCCUUUAUAUCAGGGCAUUGGAUACAUUUAGGGUAAUUAACUGUAUAACAUAAAGAACAUUUUACACAUCUAUUAGCACAUCAUAAACAUAGCUUAUAUGUGCAUAGCGCUAUGGCAGAAGACUGGAUGAGGAUGCCUCUUGAUGAGCGAACUCACCUGAUUAAUGAGCUCUUGUAGAGGCUGAGCCCCUAACUCCUCAAUCUUAGUCUCAUUCAUACAGGCCUUGUAAUACCUCUGGGCCUUUUUCUCAGCCUUGCUCAGCCCCUUCAUCGUGGUGUUCUCUGCCAAUCACAACAGGUUUCACAGCUGUUAAGGGUGAGAGGGGCAGCUAAGGACACCCCACCCCCUGAGGAGAAACCUUACCCAGCAGGUGCUUCAUGACGGCCAUGUUGCGCUCCCAUAGGUUGCUGAAGGGACCCCAGCGGGACUUUCCCUCAGGGAGGGGGUUGUUCCUCACCCAUCCCCCACAGGCAAAGUUGUAGAAGUCAUGGCAGGGGUCCACCGAGUGGUCCAGGGCUCCCAUCACAGCACUGGCCACAGUAAUGCAUGGCUCCGUCAGACACAUGCCAGGGUGAGCUGCCAACAGGGAGUGGGACAAGACAACUAAACAUACUGUAUCAGAUAUCUCUUAUCGGCACUGUGCUACUUCAGCCUCAACAUGGACAACACUAUUUAUUUUCUUAAACAGCUAGUAUAUUUCAAGGUCCUUCAAUAAAUAAUUCAAAAUAUGUCACGACAUGGAUGUUUUCAGACCAUCUGGAAAUCAUUGUUUUCAACGGGUUACUGCAAAAAAUAUAUAUAACCUCAAAGAAAAAUUACUUUUCCUCCUCUAAACUCCUACAGAAAUAAACAGUGAAAUAGAGGAGAGAAGGGCUCGAGAGGUUGUGCCACAGACGAGGUCACUGUCAGUCAUUGUCCCACCGUUCCAACAGCUGGUCCUGAUGAACUGCUCUUGCCCCUGGCCUGCACCUGUCACACCUGAAUGUUCUCCACAGGUGCAGUGUAUCAAUCACCCAGCCAGGCCCAUCUCUCUGGGUUCCCUGUCUCAUAGACAAUGUCGAGGCACGGUUGUGGAAAAUUCUCAGCAGGCCAUUGUCCGAUGCUGCCAUUGGUUCUAAGAUGGGCAUUGAUUCGUUGGCUUUGACGUGAUUGCCACACAUUAACUGGCUGUAAAAGCUGAAGUGUAAACGGAUGUUCAUGGAGUAUUCUUUCUCUUUCACUGGACUGAAUAAGGAGAUGGAUAAUACAGUAUUUUAUCAGAAAGUGCUCUGGAAUUUUUAAGGGUCUAGUUGCAAAAGCUGAUUUAUAGCCAAGGGGCAUUUGGCAACUCCCUUUACAUUAUUUUGGGAGAAGAUGUGGAAAACAUCUUUAUAUUUUUAGAGGGAUAAUAAUUCAUGACCCAAAGUCUAGUUAGUGGAUUCUCAUUCUGUCUCGUGUCUAUGUUUGAGGCUAUGUUGUACAUAAGUCUACGUUUCUUUAAGGACAAUAAGUUUAAAAUGUUUUAAUCAAUGAUCAACAUAGACAUGAGACAGAAUGAGAAUGCACUAACUGGACUUUGGGUCAUGAAUAACAGGAGCUGAAUAAAAGGAGUGGAAAGUGAAUGGUGUAGUAAAAGCACAUUCUUGUGUCGGUUCUCAUAACAGUCAGCGGGGGAUUUGUCAUGUGGGCUGAUAGGUGGUUGAAUAGGAGGAAGGGGCAUUUGCUUCCCUUCUCAACAUACAAGGAAACUAAUACUGAGCGGAGAAAAUCUUUCAGUAAAGAUUUGUACCCAGGAACAUUUUGUCAGAUUAUAUGAACAUAAAAGAGGUUGUUUGGUCAAUUCUUCUCAGGAUUAUUUAGCCAAAUCAGGCUUAACAAUCUCAGCCACUCACUC